rnacentral:rRNA from 1 species
CAGGUUUACCUGUGUGACUGCGUACCUUUUGUAUAAUGGGUCAGCGACUUAUAUUCUGUAGCAAGGUUAACCGAAUAGGGGAGCCGGAGGGAAACCGAGUCUUAAUUGGGCGUUAAGUUGCAGGGUAUAGACCCGAAACCCGGUGAUCUAGCCAUGGGCAGGUUGAAGGUUGGGUAACACUAACUGGAGGACCGAACCGACUAAUGUUGAAAAAUUAGCGGAUGACCUGUGGCUGGGGGUGAAAGGCCAAUCAAACCGGGAGAUAGCUGGUUCUCCCCGAAAGCUAUUUAGGUAGCGCCUCGUGAAUUCAUCUCCGGGGGUAGAGCACUGUUUCGGCUAGGGGGCCAUCCCGGCUUACCAACCCGAUGCAAACUGCGAAUACCGGAGAAUGUUAUCACGGGAGACACACGGCGGGUGCUAACGUCCGUCGUGAAGAGGGAAACAACCCAGACCGCCAGCUAAGGUCCCAAAGUCAUGGUUAAGUGGGAAACGAUGUGGGAAGGCCCAGACAGCCAGGAUGUUGGCUUAGAAGCAGCCAUCAUUUAAAGAAAGCGUAAUAGCUCACUGGUCGAGUCGGCCUGCGCGGAAGAUGUAACGGGGCUAAACCAUGCACCGAAGCUGCGGCAGCGACACUCAGGUGUUGUUGGGUAGGGGAGCGUUCUGUAAGCCUGUGAAGGUGGCCUGUGAGGGUUGCUGGAGGUAUCAGAAGUGCGAAUGCUGACAUAAGUAACGAUAAAGCGGGUGAAAAGCCCGCUCGCCGGAAGACCAAGGGUUCCUGUCCAACGUUAAUCGGGGCAGGGUGAGUCGACCCCUAAGGCGAGGCCGAAAGGCGUAGUCGAUGGGAAACGGGUUAAUAUUCCCGUACUUGGUGUUACUGCGAAGGGGGGACGGAGAAGGCUAUGUUGGCCGGGCGACGGUUGUCCCGGUUUAAGCGUGUAGGCUGGUUUUCCAGGCAAAUCCGGAAAAUCAAGGCUGAGGCGUGACGACGAGGCACUACGGUGCUGAAGCAACAAAUGCCCUGCUUCCAGGAAAAGCCUCUAAGCAUCAGGUAACAUCAAAUCGUACCCCAAACCGACACAGGUGGUCAGGUAGAGAAUACCAAGGCGCUUGAGAGAACUCGGGUGAAGGAACUAGGCAAAAUGGUGCCGUAACUUCGGGAGAAGGCACGCUGACAC